rnacentral:tRNA from 1 species
GGCUUGGUAGCUCAGUUGGUAGAGCAGCGGACUGAAAAUCCGCGUGUCGGCGGUUCAAGUCCGUCUCAAGCCACCA